rnacentral:rRNA from 1 species
UAACCUGCCCAAGAGAUCGGGAUAACACCUGGAAACAGAUGCUAAUACCGGAUAACAACAGAUGAUGCCUAUCAACUGUUCAAAAGAUGGUUCUGCUAUCACUCUUGGAUGGACCUGCGGUGCAUUAGCUAGUUGGUAGGGUAACGGCCUACCAAGGCGAUGAUGCAUAGCCGAGUUGAGAGACUGAUCGGCCACAUUGGGACUGAGACACGGCCCAAACUCCUACGGGAGGCAGCAGGG